rnacentral:tRNA from 1 species
GCCGAGGUGAUGGAAUUGGCAGACAUGCACGGUUCAGGGCCGUGUGCCCGUAAGGGUAUGAGGGUUCGAGUCCCUCCCUCGGCA